ACAAUGGAGAGUUUGAUCCUGGCUCAGGAUGAACGCUAGCGGCAGGCUUAACACAUGCAAGUCGAGGGGCAGCGCGAUGUAGCAAUACAUUGGCGGCGACCGGCGCACGGGUGCGUAAC
rnacentral:rRNA from 1 species